rnacentral:tRNA from 1 species
UCCCUGAUAGCUGAGUUGGUAAAGAAUAUGCCUGCAAUGCAAGAGACCCUGAUUCAAUUUCUGGGUCAGGAAG